rnacentral:rRNA from 1 species
ACGGGUGAGUAAUGCCUAGGAAUCUGCCUGGUAGUGGGGGACAACGUUUCGAAAGGAACGCUAAUACCGCAUACGUCCUACGGGAGAAAGCAGGGGACCUUCGGGCCUUGCGCUAUCAGAUGAGCCUAGGUCGGAUUAGCUAGUUGGUGAGGUAAUGGCUCACCAAGGCGACGAUCCGUAACUGGUCUGAGAGGAUGAUCAGUCACACUGGAACUGAGACACGGUCCAGACUCCUACGGGAGGCAGCAGUGGGGAAUAUUGGACAAUGGGCGAAAGCCUGAUCCAGCCAUGCCGCGUGUGUGAAGAAGGUCUUCGGAUUGUAAAGCACUUUAAGUUGGGAGGAAGGGUUGUAGAUUAAUACUCUGCAAUUUUGACGUUACCGACAGAAUAAGCACCGGCUAACUCUGUGCCAGCAGCCCCGGUAAUACAGAGGGUGCAAGCGUUAAUCGGAAUUACUGGGCGUAAAGCGCGCGUAGGUGGUUUGUUAAGUUGGAUGUGAAAUCCCCGGGCUCAACCUGGGAACUGCAUCCAAAACUGGCAAGCUAGAGUAUGGUAGAGGGUGGUGGAAUUUCCUGUGUAGCGGUGA